UAGGGAAUCUUCGGCAAUGGACGAAAGUCUGACCGAGCAACGCCGCGUGAGUGAAGAAGGUUUUCGGAUCGUAAAACUCUGUUGUUAGAGAAGAACGUUGCAUAGAGUGGAAAAUUAUGCAAGUGACGGUAUCUAACCAGAAAGGGACGGCUAACUACGUGCCAGCAGCCGCGGUAAUACGUAGGUCCCGAGCGUUGUCCGGAUUUAUUGGGCGUAAAGCGAGCGCAGGUGGUUUAAUAAGUCUGAUGUAAAAGGCAGUGGCUCAACCAUUGUGUGCAUUGGAAACUGGUAGACUUGAGUGCAGUAGAGGAGAGUGGAAUUCCAUGUGUAGCGGUGAAAUGCGUAGAUAUAUGGAGGAACACCGGUGGCGAAAGCGGCUCUCUGGACUGUCACUGACACUGAGGCUCGAAAGCGUGGGUAGCAAACA
rnacentral:rRNA from 1 species